GACGAGCUCUCCAAACGUUAUUCGGUAUCACUGGGCUUAAAGAGUUCGUAGGCGGCUUUGUAGGCGGGGUGUGAAAGCCCUCGGCUCAACCGAGGAACUGCGCUCCAAACCGUAAGGCUUGAGGGAGAUAGGGGUAAGCGGAACAGAUGGUGGAGCGGUGAAAUGCAUUGAUAUCAUCUGGAACACCGGUGGCGAAAGCGGCUUACUGGAUCUUUUCUGACGCUGAGGAACGAAAGCUAGGGUAGCGAACGGGAUUAGAUACCCCUGUAGU
rnacentral:rRNA from 1 species